rnacentral:rRNA from 1 species
ACCAGACUCCUACGGGAGGCAGCAGUGAGGAAUAUUGGCCAAUGGGCGAGAGCCUGAACCAGCCAAGUCGCGUGAGGGAAGACGGUCCUAUGGAUUGUAAACCUCUUUUGCCGGGGAGCAAAAAGCGGUACGUGUACCGCAUCGAGAGUACCCGGAGAACAAGCAUCGGCUAACUCCGUGCCAGCAGCCGCGGUAAUACGGGGGAUGCGAGCGUUAUCCGGAUUUAUUGGGUUUAAAGGGUGCGUAGGCGGCGCUUCAGGUCAGCGGUGAAAUACCGGGGCUCAACCCCGGGGCUGCCGUUGAAACCGGAGCGCUAGAAUUCCGAUGCCGUCGGAGGAAUGUGUGGUGUAGCGGUGAAAUGCUUAGAUAUCGCGCAGAACCCCGAUUGCGAAGGCAGCGUACCGGCUCCACACUGACGCUGAGGCACGAAAGCGUGGGUAUCGAACAGGAUUAGAUACCCCUGUACC